rnacentral:ncRNA from 2 species
AGACUAAUCCGUCUUCGAGCCUUGCUGCCUACCGACUAUUCCAUGGCAGCCUGGCCUGGGCUUCGGUCCGCGGGUAUUACCGGAAACGGUCAUGCCUACCGAUUGUAAAGGAGGGGAUUGCGGUCCGGG